CAUGAAUCAUUCGAAGCUGAAGAGCAACUGGGCCGACCCAGAGCUUUCCGAGAAUCCCCAGGGAGAUGCUUGCUGGGCACAGAGACCACAAAGCAGGUAUGGUCACACGCGGAGACUGGGCGACGGCAGGCUAUCCAAUUAGCUGUUAUGUGCUGAACAUGGAGUACCAAAGAACCUCUAUAAAGACCCAGUAAAACACUUGAAAAGAAGAUGCGGAAUGCCUGUGAACAGCUCCAGUAAAACACUUGAACAGAAGAUGCGGAAUGCCUGUGAACAGCUCGGACCCAGCAGCAACCGACAGACCAAUCCAGAACACGGCCAUUCACCCCUGCUCUGGAAGAGGGAAAUGCUACGAGACAGAAAGCCCCUCGCUCUCAUCAUCAGUAAGUACAAAAAGCAUCUCUGAAUCCAAAUAGACUGCUAAAUAUACUACAUAAGCCCUAAUGCCAGUUAUAACAAGACACUUUACUGCUGAAUAAUCUCGAAUAAACUCACCCACUGCCCCGA